GUGCUCACUUUGGCAGCAAAUAUACUAAAUUUGAAACAGUACAAAGAAGAUUAGCAAGGCCCCUGUAAAAGGAUGACAUGCAAAUUUGUGAAGCGUUCCAUAUUUUU